rnacentral:lncRNA from 1 species
AGCUGCACAUUCCUUGGAUAGCAGCAAAGGAUUCGGCUGUCUAGACACAACCAAAUAAGAGCACAAAGCUUACUUUGAGCAAAUCACCAACUACUUCUGCUGGCCAACAAUGGGCAGAAAGGUUCUCUGAUCCCCUUAGCUGUGGUGCAUGGGAGUAAGUCCAGGCUCUACAUGAAGAACUGUGAGGGUGUCAAAACCAACAAAACAGAUUAAAUACUAACACCAGGUAAAAAAAAGUAUCUGUGUUUUCUGUGUUUUGUAAUUCUAGUUUUUUAUUUUGAAAUUUGUCAUGAAUUCUUGUCUGUUAGGGUGGGAUUUUUGUUCAUUUGUUUCAAAUUGCUGUAAAUAGUGUUUUGUUAAUAUAUUUGUUUUGUUUAUGGGAGGGUUUCAAUAGUAUUAUUAUUGUUAUCCAAGUUGUAUAGUGCUUUCAUAGAGCUCCUAUAAUUGCAGUCUGACAAAUUUUGUAUCCCAA